UACGUAGGUGGCAAGCGUUGUCCGGAAUUAUUGGGCGUAAAGCGCGCGCAGGCGGUCCUUUAAGUCUGAUGUGAAAGCCCACGGCUCAACCGUGGAGGGUCAUUGGAAACUGGGGGACUUGAGUGCAGAAGAGGAAAGCGGAAUUCCACGUGUAGCGGUGAAAUGCGUAGAGAUGUGGAGGAACACCAGUGGCGAAGGCGACUUUCUGGUCUGUAACUGACACUGAGGCGCGAAAGCGUGGGGAGCAAACAGG
rnacentral:rRNA from 1 species